CGGAAUUUCUUCGCUCGGCAAGGCCAGCUGGCUGCAGUGUUAACGCUAGCCUUUACUCUGGCUGCCGGUACCUCAUUUAACGGAAUCCAUCAUCUCUCAAGUCACACACAUCGGCACACCACGCUCACUGCCACUAAGGUUCUAACAGCCACAUUGUGAUAAAAAGUCACCGCCAUCUUCACCAUGAGGUUCUGGGUCAUUUUACUACUUGCAUUCCUCGCCACCGUCGCCAUGGUAACGGCACAAGAUGACAAGCAACCAACUCCAGAGUCCGAGAAAUCACCAGAUAUAUCCCCAGAAUCAGAUGACAAAGAAGUGGAGAAAUCCUCCCCAGAGCCCGAACCGGAGACAACUCCGAAAUCAGGCGCCGUAACCAUCUUGUCAGGGGUCCCUGUGAUACUCUUCCCAAUUGUCACCAUAUUUUUGUCCUUCCAUUAAAUAUUCACUGAGCUUCCAAACUAAAACAGAAAGUAAAACCCCACCAAAACCUACAGUCACUAAAAUCAUAGAUCAUGCAGUCAAGCUCUUUAUCUCAGAGGUGGUAUGUAUGUCUACUUUCAACCGGAAAAAUCCAAUCUCUUCCAGUGCCAGUUUACAACACAUUUUGUGGAGACCAAUAUGAUAUAGGCGUAUUUACAAAACGGAAUAUUCGUUGUGAUGUUUAUAUCGCAAGUCACGUUAAUGACUUCAACGGAAACUUGGAGACCAAUUCUAUAACGUGCGUGUGGCAAUAUGUGUGUGUUCAGUUAGGUGAUGAGUGUAAAACUGGCUUUUUUUCUUCCGCGAUAGUAGAGUUAAUUUGCGAGCAUUUAAAAUAUCGAUGUUGUCAGCCCAUUAUAUUGUCCUUCAAAGCUCCAGCUUACUCUCGCUUAAAGGUUGUACAAGUUACCUAGCUCCCUUCUUCGACUUGCGUAUACGGGAUAUGCCAACUUAAUAUAACCCACCGCGCAUUAUGGGGACAAAAAGAGAAGAAAAGAUCGAAGACAAAUGACUUCUUCUUGAACGAUUGUCCGAUAUUUUCGAACUCUUUUAAAUGUGUCUAUUUUGUAGGCAUCAGGAUGUCUUUUAGGCUUGUGUACAUGUAUAUCUCGACUGUACUUGUUUGUAACGUUUUAUAUAUGCGUCUAUAUUUUGUACAACCAUAUAAACUUUACUGCAAUAUUGAAUGCUUAUCAUACAGGAUUUAUUUGCGAUAAAUGGGUGUUCCAUAGGUUUGCUAUGCAAAUUUACUGGUGCUUUUCUAUCCCUGUUCGCUCGUGAUUGUCUGCACUCCUCAAUGUCUGCAGUCAUAAUUGUCUGCUGCUCUAAUUCGUCUGUGGCGCUCUAUGUUUGAAGCCCUCAUUUGUAUGCAGACAUCAAUGUCAGCUCCCUCAUUUGACCACAGCCCUAAUUGUCUGCAGCCCUUAAUGUCCGAAGCCUUCAUUGUCUGCGGCCCUUAUUUGUCUGCGGCCCUCAAUAUCUACAUCCCUGAUUUGUCUGCAGCCCUCAUUUUUCUGCAGCCCUCAAUGUCUACGCCCGUUAAUGUCUUCCACAAGUGUUCAGGUAAGAUUUCCUCGUGGAAUCUGACCGUUACCUCUUUAACUGGGGCAUUUUUACCAAGUUCUGACAGUAUUUCUGGCUGCUAAGAAAACAUUUAAACGUAUUUUUUUGUUCGCCCGCUCACUUAAUGCUCACAUUUAAAUAAAGUUGUCAAUUUGUCACUGUGCUCUUUCU